CUAUUUUAUGUAAAUAUAUAUAUAUAAUUUCUUACAAUCAUCCGUUACUAAUUAAAACAUCAUAGCCCACGAAUGCCUAAGUGUACACGCUUGAUUUGGCUGCCAUCAGUCAAACAAUGGUAACCUCGAAAAGAAAAUGUAAAGCAACUCUUAUUAAAAUCUUACGUUUGUCCUUUAAUUAUUGGAAACCCCCAAAAAUUAUAAUUUACAUAUUAUUAAUUAAUUUAUUAAUCUUAACCUCGUUAUUAUCUAAUUAACAUCGUCAAUUCUCAUUUUUCUUUAACCCCUUUGUUUCAAAAUGGAUGCCAGAGCAGCUGGUCCAUUCAAAAUUACCUUUUAUCCUACUACAUUGAUAUAAACAUUAAGAUAUACAAGGGUAUAAUUGUCUUUCAGGGUGUCCAAUAAAUCCUCGUCCUUAAACAUCAUCAAACUUAUAUAAACCCCAACAACUCUUCCUUCUUUUCACCAAACAAACUACUACUUGAAAAAAUAAAUCUCUUUUCUCUUUAUAUGUAUAGUGAAAUGAAGCAAGAGAGUAACAGAAGCUUCUGCAACCGGCACGUGGCAGACCCGUGUAAGGCUUUCGGACGGCGGUGCAGCCUGCUGGUGAAGGAGCAAAGAGCAAGGUUCUACAUUCUCCGCCGGUGUGUUACCAUGCUUGUUUGCUGGAACGAAUACGGUGACACUUGAAGGAAAAAAAAAAGAAAUGUAGAGAGCAAACAUUAGAGCUUAUAUUAGAAGAAAAUUUCUAUGUUAAUAUAUAUAUUAGAACACUCAUCAAAAGGAAUGGUUCUUUUUUCAUUUAAUUUUUUUUUUUUGUGAAUUUUGGGCAAAGAAAAAGUGUAGAUCAUCAUAAAUAUAAUUACAGUAACAUUAAUUUCUUGAAAAUAUUUGGUCCCUUGAGAAGGGUUUCAUUUUUCUUCUUUUCUGCUCUAUUUAUAUAGUUAAAAUGAAGUUUUCUUGGCAGAAUUUUGAUGGGAAAGGGAAUAGCUUUCCAAGCCUUUCUAGGAAGAAAUGGGGCUAUGAACUUGGUAUAGUGCUUGUUUUGCCUGUUGCUGAUUUGAUGAUUAUCUCAUAUAUUUCCUAUUCCAGAUAUAUAUACAGAUUUAAUUUGCUUGGCUAGCAAAUUAUAUCAUUUUUUUCCUUUUGGAUAAUUAUGGCAACUUGAUUUGACAAAUUAUAAAAGCUUCCCCAAUAUUUUAUUCUUUCUGCCAAAAUAACAUGUCUUUUUUUAUACAAUUAUUUUUAAAAAUUGAAUUUAAAUUUUAAUAUUUAUAAUUUUUUUAUUUUUAAAUUAAGAUUUCUUUUUCCUAAAAAAUUAACUUGUUUUCUAAAUUGGGUUUCAGUUAAUUAUGUCAAUCAUGCAAUAGAAAUUACAUAUUAGAAUCUGGGAAAAAAAGAAAAAAAUUGGGUGAUUAAAUUUUGAUCAUUUCCAAGCUCAAGAGGAAGGAUAUUAAAGGCUAGAAUUAUGUAGAAAAAAAUCUAACGGCUUAAAGCAUAAGAAACGGAAGAAUGGGGAUAUAGAUAGAUUUAACGAUUUAUAUUAUAUAAAAUAUUAAAAUUUAUAUAUUUAUAUUAUAUUUUAUAUAAAAAAUAUAUAUUAUAAUUUAUAUUGAUAUAAAAAUAUAUAAUAUAUUUUUUAUUUUAUUAAAUUUAAAUAUAAUUAUUAUUAAAAUUUAAAAUUAUAAUAUUUUUUAUUUAUAUUUAUAUUAUAUUUUAAAUUACUAAGUCUAGAUUUCUUGCCCAGCCAUUUUGGUUCUGAAGCUGUCCUUUUAUUUCCUUAAAAGUGAAAAAGCUAUGGCAUGUGUGUAAAGGGUGUAGGUCAAGUGCUAGAUUUGUUUCUAUUUCUUUUCUGAUUUAAACUCUUUUGAGAAUACUUUUAAUAUCAUUCACACUAAUAUUCAAAUCUGGAACUCAAUUUUAAGCUUGAACUUAAACUCUAACUUGUUUGUUUUCUUGAUUCAUAAUUAGUUGAAUUAUAUAACAAAAGGAUCUAUAUUUUACUUUUAACUUUGACUUUUGAGUAGAAACUUUCACAUAAAUACAUGAUAGUAAAAAAUAAACAAAACAAACAAAAAAAAAGUUAUAAUAAGGAUAAUAAUGUAAAACUCAUCUUAAUUUCUUUUGUAAAUAUUAUACAAAAUUAUACAAUUACAAAAAAAAAUCGAUCAUAAUUAUUUGAUAUACAUCUAAUCAAAUACAAUAAAUAUAUUUAUAAACGACAUAUAAUCAAAUACGAUAUGUAUUAAUAAAUUAUUUUUUUGGAUAAUAUUCAUAUGAACGAUUCAAAUCAACUAUUUAAACAAAAGUUUUUCUUUAAUUGCUAGUAGUAAUAACUUUUUUUUUAUCUUUUUCAAUUUUCAUUUUUUUCAAGAUUAUGAGCCCAAUAUGGUUUUGAGUAGUCACUGAGUUGACUCAACCGGGUUAGGCAAACUCGGUAAAUGAGGAAAAAAAUAAAUUAGUAAGAAUCCCAAGGGGAGGUAGACGUAAGCCCGAUUUCCGCGAGAAUCGUUGAAAGAUCGUGACGUUGACGCUCCGUAAGCUCGCUUUCACCCACACGUGCAACGCAUCGCCCCUGAAAGUAAAAACAUUCAAAAACUCACCCCUAGUGGGUCCUACUUCAUCAAUUUCAUAAUUUAUUAUGUUAAAAUUAUUAAAAAUAAAAUGUGCUUUUAUGUAAAGUAAUAGGGAAAUUUUUUUCUUGAAUGCCUAAAUAUUUAUAAAAUAAUAUUAAAUUUGAGUUUUUAUAAUAUUUUCAAUCAAGGCCUCAAUUAAGCCCCUAAUUGACACUUACAUGGCUUCAAGUAAGUCUUUUCUGUUUUUUUUUUUUAUAAAACAAACCAGGAGAAAUUCCCAUACAUAAUAAAAAUCUUGUAAUAUCCUCAAAUUUACAUGAACAAUUCAAAUUUUAAAUUUAAAUUUAUAAGACAGGAACUUUACAAAACAUUCCAAAAAAGAAAUGAAUCAAACCAAAAGAUAAGAAUCUUCCACAAGAAUGAAGUGAAGGCACAAGCCUUCACGUGGGCGUGGGUUGAAAUUAAAGGAUUUUUUUUGUCUAACAUAAUAAGUGUAAAUCAUUAAGGCAUAAUCAUCGAAAAUGCCUGUUGGAUUUUUGAAAAACUUUCGACUCGUCAGAUUUUCAUUGCGGAUACUGGUUGGAGAAUAUUUUGUCGUCGAUGGAGGGAGUCAUUGUUGAAGACUCUAUUAUUUUAUGACUUGAUUGACUUAGUUUAGAUUACAAUCUCUCCCCUUUCCUUUUCCGAUCUCGAUCCUUC
rnacentral:lncRNA from 1 species